rnacentral:lncRNA from 1 species
CUCUGCCAGGACCCAAAGAGGAGGCUGAGGGGAGCCCUUAUUGCUCUCUGCCAGGACCCAAAAGGUGCAGAGUGGAGCGCAUCCACGACGUCCUGACGGGGAACGCCGCCGUCAUCCGAAUGGUGGUCGGCUUCUACCGCAGCGCCCGCGGGCGGAGCGCACUGCGCCGCAUCCUGGGCCGCCCGGUGCGGGGAGGUGCUGCGGGACGCCACCCUCAGCAUCCGCACCGACCCCGUGGACAUCUACAAGGCGUGGGUCAACCAGGCCGAGUCGCAGAGCGGGCAGAGGAGCGGGCUCCCAUACGAGGUGAGCCCUGAACAAGCACUGUGCCACCCCGAGGUGCGGCGCCGCCUGGACGCCUCCGUGCGCGCCCUCCUCGCCGUGACGGAGAGUUCGUCUCUGCCAUCACCUCUUCUGUGGAUCAGAUCCCGUGCGUACCCCGCGGGGUGGGGCCGCGUCCCGCUGUGCGGUUCCAGGAGGGGGGGGAGCGCUGGGGGG